CGCCGCCGCGCCCGCCCCAGGUGGCGGCUGGUGCCGCGCACACAAAGCCGGCGCCGGGGCCGCAGCCGGGAGGAGCGGGGCUCUCGGAGGUGUCGCUGGUCGCCAGCGGCGAGGGCAGAAAGUCGGGCCCAGAUUGUGUCCUGCUUUCCUGCCCACAACUUGUGCCUGAUACACCAGACAACCAAUGAACAUUUUUGAAUCUGGACUCCAUAGAGUGAAAACUCUCCUUAUUCUAAGACAUUGAAAAAAGAGCUGUGGGACCUUUUUCCUGGAAAUGAAUUACAGUUUUCUGCCUUCUAUUAGUGCAAAACUUAGUAGUGAAGAUCCAUAUGAAAUGUCAAGGAUAGUUUUUCCAAGUAACAUCUUCAUUAACAUGGAAGUAUUUUGGUGUAAUACCAUUUUGCAUUCUGUCACGCAGCUAUCACUGGAUAUAAACAAGUGACUGCAUCUGGGAAUAUUGUUGUUUCAAAGAAAAUAUAAAAUUAUUAUGCAAUACUUCAGUCAAAUUUUGUCAGAUUGGUUGAUAUAUCUGAUAGAAUUAGACCAUCCAUGCACCAUGGAAACUGUUUCCAUAGCAAAAAAUCUCUUAGCUCAGAGACUGUUCGCCUGGAUUAAAUCCAAGGAUUUAAACUGAUAAUCCAGAGCUUUCUCUAACAGCUAGAAAGGUCAAUACUUAUGAGGAAAUUGCCACACAGCUCUCUGAAGGUUGUACCAUCCCACUGCUGGAAUAUAUUCUUACCCUCAAGAACAAGAGAAGUGUCAUGAUGUUUCCUUUCAUUUCACAUAUCUUUGAUGUUCCAAAUGCCAACAGGUGGUUUAGAGGCAGUGGCACAUCCUGCCAGUAUUUUCAGCUACCUGCCAGAAAUACAGAUAAUUGAUGUCAUAACAGAGUCUUCCUCUGUAAUGCCUCAAAAAACCCCAGUUACUCUACUGCAGAGAAACUACUUUUUGAGCCAUCUAGUGAGGGUAGAGAGAGUAAAAAGCAUAAAACAAUAAGGUCUUUCACAAUAGACACACCAUUACCUGUUUGAAAGCUGAUUAAGAAAGAAUCAUGGGGUCUUGAAUUUGUGGAUCGGCAUAUUAAUACAGCACAGGAAGGACACUGAUUAGGAUUUGUUAAGGGCCAAAUGAAAAAUAUAUGUUAUUUCCUAAAUAUCUCUCUAAUAAACAAAAAUAAAAACUGUAUUGAAUU